rnacentral:rRNA from 1 species
CCCGGUGGGGAUUUAACGGCUGCGGUACUCUGACCGUACAAAGGUAGCAAAAUAAUUUGCCUUUUAAUUGGUGGCUUGUAUGAAUGAAGGCACGAGAUUAAAGCUGUCUCUAAUUUAUUUAUAUAGAAAUUUUUUUUCAAGUGAAGAAGCUUGAAUUUUAAUAUGGGACAAGAAGACCCUAUUGAUCUUUAUUAAUUAUAUGGGUUUAGCAUAUAACUUAUUUAUAUUAUACUUGUAUUAAUUUGGUUGGGAUGACAAAGAAAAAUAAAAUUUUUUCUUUAUAUUUAAGAAUUAUGGUUCGUUUUAAGGAUCUAAAAUUUUACUCUUAGGAAAUAGUUACCAUAGGGAUAACAGGUUAAUUUUUUUGGAGAGUCUUAUUCGAUAAAGAAGUUUAACACCUCGAUGUUGGCUUAGAAUAUCCUGUAGGUGCAGAAGCUUAUAAGGGUUAGUUUGUUCAACUAUUAAAAUUCU